CGACGGCGCUCCGUAUGCCGAUGAGUCCGCUCGUCGACGAUGGGAGCUUGCUCCCGGCAUGUUAGUAGGCGGACGGGUGAGUAACACGUGGGUAACCUGCCUGUAAGACUGGGAUAACUCCGGGAAACCGGAGCUAAUACCGGAUAGUUCCUUGAACCGCAUGGUUCAAGGAUGAAAGACGGUUUCGGCUGUCACUUACAGAUGGACCCGCGGCGCAUUAGCUAGUUGGUGGGGUAAUGGCUCACCAAGGCGACGAUGCGUAGCCGACCUGAGAGGGUGAUCGGCCACACUGGGACUGAGACACGGCCCAGACUCCUACGGGAGGCAGCAGUAGGGAAUCUUCCGCAAUGGACGAAAGUCUGACGGAGCAACGCCGCGUGAGUGAUGAAGGUUUUCGGAUCGUAAAGCUCUGUUGUUAGGGAAGAACAAGUGCGAGAGUAACUGCUCGCACCUUGACGGUACCUAACCAGAAAGCCACGGCUAACUACGUGCCAGCAGCCGCGGUAAUACGUAGGUGGCAAGCGUUGUCCGGGAAUUAUU
rnacentral:rRNA from 1 species